rnacentral:rRNA from 1 species
CACCAGACUCCUACGGGAGGCAGCAGUGGGGGAUAUUGCACAAUGGGGGAAACCCUGAUGCAGCGACGCCGCGUGGGCGAAGAAGUAUUUCGGUAUGUAAAGCUCUAUCAGCAGGGAAGAAGAUGACGGUACCUGACUAAGAAGCCCCGGCUAACUACGUGCCAGCAGCCGCGGUAAUACGUAGGGGGCAAGCGUUAUCCGGAUUUACUGGGUGUAAAGGGAGCGUAGACGGCGAUGCAAGCCAGAUGUGAAAUCCCGGGGCUCAACCCCGGGACUGCAUUUGGAACUGUGUGGCUGGAGUGUCGGAGAGGCAGGCGGAAUUCCUAGUGUAGCGGUGAAAUGCGUAGAUAUUAGGAGGAACACCAGUGGCGAAGGCGGCCUGCUGGACGAUGACUGACGUUGAGGCUCGAAAGCGUGGGGAGCAAACAGGAUUAGAUACCCCUGUAC